GACGAACGCUGGCGGCGUGCUUAACACAUGCCAGUCGAACGGUGAAGCGCCUUCCUUUUUGGUGGGUGUGGAUGAGUGGCGAACGGGUGAGUAACACGUGAGUAACCUGCCCCCUUCUUCUGGAUAACCGCAUGAAAGUGUGGCUAAUACGGGAUAUUCUGGGUCUGUCGCAUGAUGGGUCUGGGAAAGAUAUUGUUUCGGUGGGGGAUGGGCUCGCGGCCUAUCAGCUUGUUGGUGGGGUGAUGGCCUACCAAGGCGGUGACGGGUAGCCGGCCUGAGGGGGUGGACGGUCACACUGGGACUGAGACACGGCCCAGACUCCUACGGGAGGCAGCAGUGGGGAAUAUUGCACAAUGGGCGCAAGCCUGAUGCAGCGACGCCGCGUGAGGGAUGGAGGCCUUCGGGUUGUGAACCUCUUUCGCCAGUGAAGCAGGCCUGCCUCGUUUGUGGGUGGGUUGACGGUAGCUGGAUAAGAAGCGCCGGCUAACUACGUG
rnacentral:rRNA from 1 species